rnacentral:rRNA from 1 species
UAGUUGCCAUCAUUAAGUUGGGCACUCUAAGUUGACUGCCGGUGACAAACCGGAGGAAGGUGGGGAUGACGUCAAAUCAUCAUGCCCCUUAUGAUUUGGGCUACACACGUGCUACAAUGGACAAUACAAAGGGCAGCGAAACCGCGAGGUCAAGCAAAUCCCAUAAAGUUGUUCUCAGUUCGGAUUGUAGUCUGCAACUCGACUACAUGAAGCUGGAAUCGCUAGUAAUCGUAGAUCAGCAUGCUACGGUGAAUACGUUCCCGGGUCUUGUACACACCGCCCGUCACACCACGAGAGUUUGUAACACCCGAAGCCGGUGGAGUAACCUUUUAGGAGCUAGCCGUCGAAGGUGGGACAAAUGAUUGGGGUGAAGUCGUAACAAGGUAGCCGUAUCGGAAGGUGCGGCUGGAUCACCUCCUUU